UACGGGAGGCAGCAGUGGGGAAUUUUGGACAAUGGGCGAAAGCCUGAUCCAGCAAUGCCGCGCGGGCAAGAAGGCCUUAGGGUGUAAAGCAAUUAUGUCCGUAAGAAGUCAAGGUCUUAAUACCUAGGGGAAGACGGUACCCGAAGAAUAAGCACGGUAAUUUUUG
rnacentral:rRNA from 1 species